ACCAUCCCUGUGCAGCAGGAGGCAAGACUCUGCUUCUGCUCUGGGCAUUCUGAGAAACGAGAAAUAGGAUCAGAUUUGGUGCCUCAAACUCCUGGGUGAUUAGAAUCUCCGUUCUCCCAGAGUCGUCCAAAGUGAGGCUCCCUUAUCUCUCAGUCAGUCGGGGAUGAUUUAUUACCCGGGAUCCAGGCUCUGCUGAAGCACUCACGAGGCCAUCUCCGCAGGGUCUGUGGCACAGCUCGCUAUGGUACACUGAGCGGAGACGAGGACAUGAAUAAUUGUUUUGAUAAUAUUUAGCAGGCGUGUGUGAUGUCGCUUUGCAGCAUCUGCUAUUAACAACACAAACAAAAGGAGCCUUUAAUCGCUGUGUUACUCUGCUUUCAGGAAGAUGUAAUGUGCUGAUCUGGAGCCUUUGAAGAUACCAGAACUUCAAUCCUUUUCUGAACAUCUCAGGUCAGGUGGGAACACCGGUGUUUUUAAAGUAAGGCUGCUGGAUAACUGAAUCAUUGUGUUGUGGACCUGAAACUAACACGAUAUUGUGAAUCAACUGUGUGUGUGUGUGUGUGUGUGUGUGUCUGUGUGCACACGCAUGCGCAUACGUGCUCAGUCAUGUCCGACUCUUUGCAACCCCAUGGACUGAAGUCCACCAGGUUCCUCCGUCCAUGGAAUUUUUCAGGCAACAAUACUGGAGCGGGUUGCCAUUUUCUCCUCCAGGGAGAAACUUCCCAACUCAGGGACUGAACUUUUGUUUCCUGUGUCUCCUUCAUUGCAGGCAGAUUCUUUACCCUCUGAGCCAGCAGAAAAGCCCACUCAAAGUCAGUUCUUCUGUAUAUUUCCUUCUGGCGGAUGAAAGCUGGAGUUGGUGGACAGUUCAUGAGCAAGCACUUGAUAUGCAAAAAAAGCCCACCCACAAGCUUCCAGAAACCUAUGAAUUUUAACAAAAGAUGUGGGGAUCAUCACUUCCUCUCUUUGGACUUGGGAAUUCAGCAGCCUGAGAAUAACCUGGAAACUGUGUCCAGAGAGAAAGAGAGGAUUCCAAUUGAAGAGACACCACAGGUAAGAUUAUAAGGUGUUUGGGGAUUGGAGGCAUGUUGAAAA
rnacentral:lncRNA from 1 species